rnacentral:tRNA from 1 species
AGUCCUGUAGCUCAAUGGUAGAGCAAGUGUCUUACAAGCAAGAGGUUGCGGGUUCAAAUCCUGCCAGGACUAC